CGCACCUUGCACUCCUUGGUAUUCCGAGGAGUAUGCCUGUUUGAGUGUCUUGUAAUCAUCAAUCUAACAUUGCUUUUGUGAUGCUGGAUUGGAUUUGGAGACUGCUGGUCUUACGAUUGGCUUCUCUUGAAUGCAUUAGUUGAAUCGAGUUGCAACGCUACGUGUGGUGUGAUAAUAUCUUCACUGCAUAGUUGUAAUGACGUUUGGCUUCUAACAGUCCUUCAUUGGACAAUACUUGACCAUUUGACCUCAAAUCAGGUAGGACUACCCGCUGAACUUAA
rnacentral:misc_RNA from 1 species